UUAGCAGGAAGUGGUAAAGAAGAUGAUGUCAGCUUAUCUCAAUGGAUGCGUCUUCUCUUCAUCUCCUUUAAAACACGAGUUGAUGAUUGGCCGUGGGAGUGAGAUCUUAAUCAAGGUGGUUGCCUCUUGCUACUAAUUGAAAUUACUUUUCACUAAAUCAAUUCCUCUCUUUCGUCAAUUGCUGGGUUGUAAGUUGGCCCAAACACAUGCAAACACGACGUAGUGUUUCACUACAGUUAAUUUUUUAUAUUUAGAUUUAAUAUUUCUUUUUGUAACAGACACUAUUUUAUGUCAAAUAAAAAAUUUUAAAUACAAAUUUUUUAAAAA